GGAUCCAGACUUUGAUUCUGGCUCAGGAUGAACGCUAGCUACAGGCUUAACACAUGCAAGUCGAGGGGAAACGACAUCGAAAGCUUGCUUUUGAUGGGCGUCGACCGGCGCACGGGUGAGUAACGCGUAUCCAACCUGCCCACCACUUGGGGAUAACCUUGCGAAAGUAAGACUAAUACCCAAUGACGUCUCUAGAAGACAUCUGAAAGAGAUUAAAGAUUUAUCGGUGAUGGAUGGGGAUGCGUCUGAUUAGCUUGUUGGCGGGGUAACGGCCCACCAAGGCUACGAUCAGUAGGGGUUCUGAGAGGAAGGUCCCCCACAUUGGAACUGAGACACGGUCCAAACUCCUACGGGAGGCAGCAGUGAGGAAUAUUGGUCAAUGGACGAGAGUCUGAACCAGCCAAGUAGCGUGCAGGAUGACGGCUCUAUGGGUUGUAAACUGCUUUUAUAAGGGAAUAAAGUGAGCCUCGUGAGGCUUUUUGCAUGUACCUUAUGAAUAAGGACCGGCUAAUUCCGUGCCAGCAGCCGCGGUAAUACGGAAGGUCCGGGCGUUAUCCGGAUUUAUUGGGUUUAAAGGGAGCGUAGGCCGGAGAUUAAGCGUGUUGUGAAAUGUAGAUGCUCAACAUCUGCACUGCAGCGCGAACUGGUUUCCUUGAGUACGCACAAAGUGGGCGGAAUUCGUGGUGUAGCGGUGAAAUGCUUAGAUAUCACGAAGAACUCCGAUUGCGAAGGCAGCUCACUGGAGCGCAACUGACGCUGAAGCUCGAAAGUGCGGGUAUCGAACAGGAUUAGAUACCCUGGUAGUCUGCACGGUAAACGAUGGAUGCCCGCUGUUGGUCUGAAUAGGUCAGCGGCCAAGCGAAAGCAUUAAGCAUCCCACCUGGGGAGUACGCCGGCAACGGUGCAACUCAAAGGAAUUGACGG
rnacentral:rRNA from 1 species